rnacentral:misc_RNA from 1 species
AACGCACAUUGCGCCCCUUGGUAUUCCAGGGGGCAUGCCUGUUUGAGCGUCAUUUCCUUCUCAAACAAUUCUGUUUGGUUGUGAGUGACACUCGGAUGAGUUAACUUGAAAUUGCUAGCCAAUUAGGCUUAUAGUGGUAUGGCAAGCUUUUGAUUGUGAAAUCACUGUCAAGUCUGCUGAUACAACUGUCGUAUUAGGUUUUACCAACUUCGGCUGCGUGUGUUAGUGGGUGUUAUAAAGACUAUGAUGGAAGAUUGAGAGAGUGUAAUAUUGCGAGCCUGGCGAACAGUGUUCUUAAAGUUUGACCUCAAAUCAGGUAGGAAUACCCGCUGAACUUAA